rnacentral:rRNA from 1 species
GACGAAGGGGGCUAGCGUUGUUCGGAAUUACUGGGCGUAAAGCGAGUGUAGGUGGUUGUCCAAGUUGGAUGUGAAAGCCUUGAGCUCAACUCAAGAAAUGCAUUCAGGACUGGGCGGCUAGAGGACCGGAGAGGAUAGUGGAAUUCCCAGUGUAGUGGUGAAAUUCGUAGAUAUUGGGAAGAACACCAGUGGCGAAGGCGGCUAACUGGUCCGGUACUGACGCUGAGGUGCGAAAGCGUGGGGAGCAAACAGG